GCUGAUUUGAGACGUCAUGUGAAUAGGCCUAUGGAACAGAAAAAAGCCAGCGGUGCAAACAGGCUUUGCGGAUCUCAUCCGUCUUUUGCCGUACAAAAUUAGUUUGACCAGUGCCAUUUGUUGUCCGCUGAUGAUGGAGCCACACAUCCCGAUUAAAAUCGACUGCCAGCAUCACGUCCACCGGGUAUGCCGGUAACUGGUCCGUCUUCAAAGCUAUCACCGGCAUGUAGUUGCCUACCGAGCCAGCAGGUGACCGUGUCCUCCAGCAGAGUCGUGAGCGCGGGUGAUUACCCUUAUCAGACCAGCAUCAGUACCAGCAGAACCAGAACCGGCAAGAACCUCAGCAUUAGCUACAAAAAGAAGUUUGGUUCCGUUCGGCACCGAUCAAACCCGUUUCCCCUGCUUCCAUGGCCGAAAUAGUGUUUUCAAUCACGUUCGAAACAAAAUCCACCGUACAUUGCAGUUACCCUACACACUGGGAAAGGAAACCGGCAAAAUCUCUCACAACCAUGACUAGGUUCACUAUGCCACAAGCGAUCGGAUUGGUAACCAAUUGAUGAGGAAUCAUGGAACAAAGCAUUGGCAGCGUAUUAAUGCCGCCAUAGACGGUGCAACGGAAGACUGUCGGCAUUCCAAGACUAUCGAGAUCCUCAUCGGGCUGCAUUGGCAUAAGAACCCCCACCCCCUAGAGAAUUUCGAAAAAAAAAAA